AUACGGAGGGUGCAAGCGUUAUUCGGAAUCACUGGGCGUAAAGGACACGUAGGCGGGAAGCCAAGUCUGAUGUGAAAUCCUACAGCUUAACUGUAGAACUGCAUUGGAAACUGGUUACCUAGAGUAUGUGAGGGGGAGAUGGAAUUAGUGGUGUAGGGGUAAAAUCCGUAGAUAUCACUAGGAAUACCUAAAGCGAAGGCGAUCUCCUGGAACAUUACUGACGCUAAGGUGUGAAAGCGUGGGGAGCAAACGGCAUUAGAAACCCUAGUAGUCC
rnacentral:rRNA from 1 species